rnacentral:misc_RNA from 1 species
UUAAGUUCAGCGGUAGUCCUACCUGAUUUGAGAUCGAACUUCAGACAGCUGUCUUCGCUGAGGAGAGACAUCUAUAAGCUCCGGCGAACCUCUGCAGACCAGAGGUUUACCUCACAGGCAAUCACAAGCGUAGAUAGUUAUCACACCCAUGAUGCUGCCAGACACCGGCAAGCUAAUUCAUUUGAGGAGAGCUGACCACA